rfam:Danio rerio chromosome 7 genomic contig WGSCTG210, GRCz11 reference primary assembly.
CACCACAGCCAUAUCACCCUGCAGCCCAAGACCGGUCACUCACUGAAGCUAAGCAGGGCUGAGGCUGGUCAGUAUCUGGAUGGGAGACCACUAGGGAACACUAGGUUGCUGUUGGCA